rnacentral:rRNA from 1 species
CAGCCGCCGCGGUAAUACGGAGGGUGCAAGCGUUAAUCGGAAUUACUGGGCGUAAAGCGCACGCAGGCGGUCUGACAAGUCAGAUGUGAAAUCCCCGGGCUUAACCUGGGAACUGCAUUUGAAACUGUCAGGCUGGAGUCUUGUAGAGGGGGGUGGAAUUCCAGGUGUAGCGGUGAAAUGCGUAGAGAUCUGGAGGAAUACCGGUGGCGAAGGCGGCCCCCUGGACAAAGACUGACGCUCAGGUGCGAAAGCGUGGGGAGCAAACAGGAUUAGAUACCCGGUAGUCCCUGUCUUUUAUACA